UCUAUGUUCACUCAAGGCUGUGGGGCUAGACAAUCAGCAGGUGGCAAGCCAUCCUAAGCCUGUAUCUUUCCCUUCAGGGCAGGAAAUGAUAUUCCCCAUUCACCAGCAGCUGGAGAGGGUCUCCACAGCAGAACACUGCGGCUGGAGGUGAGGAAGGAGUGGCGUAAGUGAUUAAGGACUGUAUUUUAUUCUCUUCAGUGCCUCAUUCAGCAAUAUGAAGUUAAAACCAGGAAACUGGAAAAUGAGAUAUAAAAAGAAUGCAUAUUGACACAGCUAAUGUCUGAAAGAGAAAACUGCAUGAGUAAAUUUCAAUAGUGUAUUUGGUAACCAAACCUGAAAGGUAUGAAAGACUGGUUCAACAUUUGAAAAUCAAUCAAUUUAGUUCACCAUAUCAACAGACUGAAGAAGAAAAUUCACGUGAUUGUAUGCAUUAACACAGAAAAACAUUCAACAAAAAUCCAGCACUAAUUCAUGAUUAAAAUCAAGAAAAGAACAAACUCUCAGCACAUUAGAAAUAAAGUGGAGUUACCUCAAUCUAAUAAAGGGCAUCUAACAUCACAUUUAAGACUAAAAGACAAAAUAUUUUCCUUCCAAGAUUGAAACAAGGUAAAGAUGUCUGCUUUUACUACUCUAAUCAAUGAGAAGUUCUAGCCAGUUCAAAAAGGAGAAAAAAAAAGUCAUACAGAUUGGAAAGGAAGAAAUAAAAUUGUUCCUGUUUGCAUAUGAUAUGAUCGUCUGCACUGAAAAUCCUAAAAAAUCUAUUUUUAAAAAGCCUGGGCCUAUUUAGAGAAUUCAACAAGUUUGCAGGAUUUAUGAACAAUGCACAAAAAUCAACUACCUUUUUGUUGAAAAUUGAAACAAUACCAGUUAAACUUGCUUCAGAUAAAAUGUGUCCAAAAACCUAUGAAAUGCUGAUGGAAGAAAUCAAAGAAGUACCUAGAUGAAUAAGAAGAUAUACCAUGCUCACGGAUUAUAAACCUCAACAUAGUAGAGAUGUCAGUUCUCUCUAAAUUAUUAUAUAGGUUUUAAUGCAAUUCUAUCUAAAAUUGUGUGCUAAGGACAUACUUGAUGCUUAGAAAGUUUAUAUAUGGUAACCCCUUUCAAUCCAUGGGGAACUGGUUUCAGCUCCCCACCCCUGUCCACGGUGAUACAAAAAUAUGCUGAUGCUCAAGUCUGUUAUAUAAGAUGACAUAUAUUAUUUGCAUAUAACCUAUAAACAUCUUACCUCCUUUGCACUUCAAAUUGUCUUUAGAUUACUUAUAAUAACUAAUAGAAGGUGAAUGUUAUGUAAGUAGCUGUUAUACUAUAUUGUCAUAAAUGAUGACAAGAAAACAAUGUGUGUACUUAUUUAUUGCGGAUAUAAUUGUCCAUUUUUUUCUAAAUAUCUUGGAUCCAUGAUUGGUCAAUUUGAAGAAUGCAAAACUCACAGAUAUAGAGGGCCACUAUACUGUACCUACAUAUAGGCUGACAUAGUACGUAUAUUUAUAGGAGGCACAAACUUUCUUGAGUUAGCCCUAGUAAUGUUAUUAUUUUUUUACACAAUUCACACUGUUAUGUCCUAAAAAUUAUUUAACUUUGUGCUAAGUCCAAAAUUUUAAUAAAUUAUUAUUAUUAGCUAAGUAGUCCAUAGAUCUUGACUGAUUUCUAAUUUAUUGCAUUCUAAAAAUGUUAUUUAACACUAUUUUUAAUAUUUUUUUCAGUUUUUAUUUAACAAUAGUAUUAUUAACAAAAAAUGCAAAGAGUCGUUAGUAAUGAACAGGUGUUUGAUCCUAGAAGUCUGGCAGGGUCUUUGGUUUUAUUUCCAGCUUCUGAUAAUAGUGCUUGAGGUCAUCUCUAUGUGAUUUUCUCCCCACAGAUGGCAAAACCAUUUAUGUUUAAGUGUUGGAAUCACAUAUUCCUUAUUUGAUCUUGAAAAUUUACAGUGAUUAAGGAAUGUCGAUCUUUGAAAAAAGUAACUCCAAAAAGCUGCCAAUAGCAUCAAAUAAAAUAUGAAUCUGAGUUUAUACAGGACCACAUAUCUUUACUCAAAUAAGGAUUUUAUUUACUUUGAAAAUACUGUUAGCCUCUUGGCUUGCAUAAGGGAAUGGCUCACGUUUAGUUAAUUAAAUUUAUUCUUAUAAAUAUUCUCAAAAGUGAGGUAAUCCUUUGAGUGAGGUAAUCAAUUAAGUUAGCAUAGAAAAAAAUUAUGUGCUUUUUCUUCCUUCUUUUUAAGUCUGUGAGUUAUUGAGGGCAUGCCUUAUGUGAGACCUCUGUUUUCAGACCAGUGUUUCAUUUUGUGUCUCAGUAAAUCAGAGGAUACUCACAUUCAAACUGGUUCCAGAAAAAAAAAAAAAAGAAUGUUUGUAAUCCACUAAUGAGGCAACUGUGUACAAGGAAAAAUCCAAAAGCAUUUUUUACAAAUUAGAAUUAAUUAACAGUGCAGCAGAUAUUUUUGGAACUUAACCAAGACAAUAAAAUUAAACACAAUUUUAUGGUUUAAGAAACAUUUAAAGACAGAAUUUUCAAGAAGCACAUAAAAAUUAUGUCCUUUUUUUCUUCUUUAUAAAUCUUUGAGUUAUUGAGGACAUGCUCUAUAUGUGAGAUCUAAAAUAGUAUCAAAAACGUAAAACAUUUAGGAGUACUGUCCCCAUAAAAUAAAUGUAAGUUCUCUAUAUUAAAAUUCUCCUAAAAAUUUAAGUCAGCAUUAUUGGAUUAUAAUCCACAAACAAUAAAAUUAUAUUUUUCUACAUUUCAUUCAUUUUUAAACAAAUACACAGUUUUGCAACCACUAUUUAGUGAGCAUUUGCAUUACCCCAGAAAGUUCCCAGAUUCUCUUUUGUAGUCAAUCCAUCUUCCUCACAUCCAGCCUCUCUAGCUAACACUAUUCCUUUUUAAGACUGUAUAGUUGUGGCUUUCCUCAGCAUCCUAUCAAGGCAAUUCAACAAUGUGUAGCCUUCUGAAUCUGGCUUCUUUCAGUUAGUAUAAAGUAUUUGUGAUUCAUCCAUGAUGUUGUAUGUAUCACUACUUAUUUCCAUUUUAUUGCUGAAGAGUAUUCCAUUGGGUGGUGUUCCACAGUUGAGUUAUCAAUUUACUGAUCGACAUUUGUUUCUAGUUUUCAGCAAUUAUGAAUAAAGCUGCAAUAAACUUUUCCACACAGAUUUUUUGUGAAUAUAUAUUUUAUUUCUCCAUCUAGAAUUGGAAUAGGUAGGUCAAUUGAUAAAUGUUUUACUUUGUAAAAAGUAAACAAACUGAUUUCUAAAAUGUCUGCACUAUUUGGCAUUAUCACUUAAUAUGUAAGUGUUCCUCACUCAUAGGUGGGGGAUGAAAAAUGAAAACACAUGGACACAG